rnacentral:rRNA from 1 species
UGAAUCAAAUAGGCGUAGGUGGGGAACCGCCUGAACUGAAACAUCUAAGUAGGGCGAGGAAGAGAAAUCAACAGAGAUUCCGCAAGUAGUGGCGAGCGAACGCGGAAGAGGGCAAACCGGAGGAUUUAUCCUCCGGGGUUGUGGACCGACACAACGGCAGGAUAGGUUAGCCGAACGGUAUGGGAAGGCCGGCCAUAGCGGGUGAGAGCCCCGUAGGCGAAAACCGGAUCCUGUUAGUCGAGUUCCAGAGUACCGCCGGACACGUGAAACCCGGUGGGAAACUGGGGGGACCACCCUCCAACCCUAAAUACUACCUGAUGACCGAUAGAGGAGCAGUACCGUGAGGGAAAGGUGAAAAGGACCCCGGGAGGGGAGUGAAAGAGAACCUGAAACCUUGUGCUUACAAGCACUCAAAGCCCGUUAAAGGGUGAUGAGGUACCUUUUGUAGAAUGGUCCGGCGAGUUAUUGUUACUGGCAAGCUUAAGGUAUUCAGUACCGGAGGCGAAGGGAAACCGAGUGUGAACAGCGCGUAUGAAG